rnacentral:rRNA from 1 species
UGGGGAAUAUUGGACAAUGGGCGAAAGCCUGAUCCAGCCAUGCCGCGUGUGUGAAGAAGGUCUUCGGAUUGUAAAGCACUUUAAGUUGGGAGGAAGGGCAGUAAGCGAAUACCUUGCUGUUUUGACGUUACCGACAGAAUAAGCACCGGCUAACUCUGUGCCAGCAGCCGCGGUAAUACAGAGGGUGCAAGUGUUAAUCGGAAUUACUGGGCGUAAAGCGCGCGUAGGUGGUUCUUUAAGUUGAAUGUGAAAGCCCCGGGCUCCACCUGGGAACUGCAUCCAAAACUGGCGAGCUAGAGUAGGGCAGAGGGUGGUGGAAUUUCCUGUGUAGCGGUAAAAUGCUUAGAUAUAGGAAGGAACACCAGUGACGAAGGCGACCACCUGGGCUCAUACUGACACUGAGGUGCGAAAGCGUGGGGAGCAAACAGG